AUAAAAACGGGGGUCAAAAAGGCGCCAACAGAGAAGGGGAAAAAGAAGCUCGGAGAACUGAGAGGAAGAGAAGGAGGGGCGGUUUGCGGGCAGGCGCGCUCGCGCACGCGCUUCCACUUUUUCCGCGUCCCUUGGGGGGGCGCGCGCCGUGGUUAUGACGUAAGCCCACGGAAGUGGGCGAGGCCGUUUGGAAUUUUGGCGCGAGAGCGGGGCGUUGAGGUUAUUGCUGCUGCUGCGGUUGCUGUUUUUUUUUUUCGGGCGCGCGCCUUGGAAGGAGAAGAGGGCGGGCGGUCCGCCUGGGGGAAGAAAAGAGAGAGAACUCUUACUGGAUCUCUCCCUCGCCGAAGAAAUUUGGGAGGAAAAAUAAAAAGGUUGGGAGAGAUAUUCAAGUAAGUUAUGACAGAUAAUGCAAGCAAGGAACUUUUGGUGUAAAUCAAUACUUUCAAACUCUUCAUAUCUUCCUGUUCAGUGUUUCUUCUUUCUGUUAUUCUGCUGACAACUUUGUUUGGCGUAACUGAGUGCCUCUAGAGAUUCAGAUUCUACACUUGUCAGUUUCAUCUGAAUGUCAUGUGGUUUAUCACUAAGGCCAUUAGAAAACUCCAUCAUUGUUAUUGAUGGCUCCAGGACAACUACAGCAGAUGGAUGAAAUACAUCUUACCUCAAAUGGCCUCUUCCUGAGACAGCAACCCACAGGGCAUUGAUCUUCAGCUGAUUAGGGACAUGACUCCUCGAGAAUCCUAUGACUGGCAGACAGAACCUUAAAACCUUAAAAUGGGCACAUUUCAUAAAGGACAAAUAUAAACAGGUCUAUAUUGCAAAACAAGCUAUAAUUAUCAGUCUGUAAGCAUUCCAUUUUUCUCUCCAGUGUGCUUUAGAGACUCUAAUGUCAGUCCCAGCAGAACAUAGCCUAAAAAUACAUCCCUUUUUAUACUCUAUUCUUUUUUAUUCCUGACCCCUCCAAUAACUCCUGAACUUUACAGAUCCAGCACCAAAGAAUUACUGUAGUCACAUAUCAGCCAUAGAAGAUGUUACCAUUUAAUCUUUA
rnacentral:lncRNA from 1 species